AAUGAACGCUGGCGGCAGGCCUAACACAUGCAAGUCGAACGGGUCCUUCGGGACUAGUGGCGGACGGGUGAGUAACGCGUGGGAACAUACCCAAAGGUACGGAAUAACCUCUGGAAACGGAGAGUAAUACCGUAUGUGCCCUUCGGGGGAAAGAUUUAUCGCCUUUGGAUUGGCCCGCGUUGGAUUAGGUAGUUGGUGGGGUAAUGGCCUACCAAGCCGACGAUCCAUAGCUGGUUUGAGAGGAUGAUCAGCCACACUGGGACUGAGACACGGCCCAGACUCCUACGGGAGGCAGCAGUGGGGAAUCUUAGACAAUGGGGGAAACCCUGAUCUAGCCAUGCCGCGUGAUCGAUGAAGGCCUUAGGGUUGUAAAGAUCUUUCAGAUGGGAAGAUAAUGACGGUACCAUCAGAAGAAGCCCCGGCUAACUCCGUGCCAGCCGCCGCAGUAA
rnacentral:rRNA from 1 species